AAAACGGACACGCAAUUUUUCCGUGCAUUGAGUGGGAUCACUUCUAGCUUGCACCUUGCUAUUGACAUUCUACAAACAAUUCUGUUUAGCCAAGAAGACGUAAUGUGAAUGGCUUUUAAGGAUUAUUAUUGACCUGUGGCAGUUGGUAUUAAGGUCAUGAAGACAUGGUUUAAAGAAGUUGCUAUUGAAGUUUGAUGAAGGACAGCUUUAUAACUAGAACCAACAGCUUUUAGUUUGGGAGAUAAUGGCAAAUUGGGCAAAUUGGGAUGAGAAACUUUGUAAAGCUGCUGAGGAGGGAAAUCUUAAAGAUGUGGAAUUAUCUUUAGAAAAUGGAGCUAAUUUGGAAUAUAUUGGUUUU